CUGAUGCUCGAAAGUGUGGGUAUCAAACAGGAUUAGAUACCCUGGUAGUCCACACAGUAAACGAUGAAUACUCGCUGUUUGCGAUAUACAGUAAGCGGCCAAGCGAAAGCGUUAAGUAUUCCACCUGGGGAGUACGCCGGCAACGGUGAAACUCAAAGGAAUUGACGGGGGCCCGCACAAGCGGAGGAACAUGUGGUUUAAUUCGAUGAUACGCGAGGAACCUUACCCGGGCUUGAAUUGCAACUGAAUGAUGUGGAGACAUGUCAGCCGCAAGGCAGUUGUGAAGGUGCUGCAUGGUUGUCGUCAGCUCGUGCCGUGAGGUGUCGGCUUAAGUGCCAUAACGAGCGCAACCCUUGUUGUCAGUUACUAACAGGUUCCGCUGAGGACUCUGACGAGACUGCCAUCGUAAGAUGUGAGGAAGGUGGGGAUGACGUCAAAUCAGCACGGCCCUUACGUCCGGGGCUACACACGUGUUACAAUGGGGGGUACAGAAGGCAGCUACACGGCGACGUGAUGCUAAUCCCUAAAGCCUCUCUCAGUUCGGAUUGGAGUCUGCAACCCGACUCCAUGAAGCUGGAUUCGCUAGUAAUCGCGCAUCAGCCACGGCGCGGUGAAUACGUUCCCGGGCCUUGUACACACCGCCCGUCAAGCCAUGAAAGCCGGGGGUACCUGAAGUGCGUAACCGCAAGGAGCGCCCUAGGGUAAAACCGGUAAUUGGGGCUAAGUCGUAACAAGGUAGCCGUACCGGAAGGUGCGGCUG
rnacentral:rRNA from 1 species